GAUGAACGCUGGCGGCGUGCCUAAUACAUGCAAGUCGAGCGAACAGACGAGGAGCUUGCUCCUCUGACGUUAGCGGCGGACGGGUGAGUAACACGUGGAUAACCUACCUAUGAGACUGGGAUAACUUCGGGAAACCGGAGCUAAUACCGGAUAAUAUAUUGAACCGCAUGGUUCAAUAGUGAAAGACGGUUUUGCUGUCACUUAUAGAUGGAUCCGCGCCGCAUUAGCUAGUUGGUAAGGUAACGGCUUACCAAGGCGACGAUGCGUAGCCGACCUGAGAGGGUGAUCGGCCACACUGGAACUGAGCCACGGUCCAGACUCCUACGGGAGGCAGCAGUAGGGAAUCUUCCGCAAUGGGCGAAAGCCUGACGGAGCAACGCCGCGUGAGUGAUGAAGGUCUUCGGAUCGUAAAACUCUGUUAUUAGGGAAGAACAAAUGUGUAAGUAACUAUGCACGUCUUGACGGUACCUAAUCAGAAAGCCACGGCUAACUACGUG
rnacentral:rRNA from 1 species